rnacentral:lncRNA from 1 species
AAUAAAGCUCUUUUUCUGUUCAAGCUGAGCAAGACUGAUAGACAGACUCAGUGGGGUGCCCCCAGGAGUCUUACCAGAAUCAGGCAUGCAGGCAGGCAGACAGAGACAGACAGACAGACUGUAUCCUCCUCUCUUUGGGGUCCAAUGUGAGCCACUCGUAGGGAGCCAGGAAUCCUCUUCCAGACAUCUGAGGGGACUUGAGAAAUCUUGAGGAUGCCUUCCCAUCAGGACCUGGAGAAGUCCUUGCUCCAUCCGCAAAGGCCAUGACCACUGACCAAAGAGGUCAACAUGGCCAGUCUUCCUGGCCAGCGCACCAGAUUCAACGGCACAUAAAAACAUGGGUCUGUGCUGAACAUGUGACAACUUCUCUUCCAACCCACAAGUAUAGGCAAUAGGCACAUUUUAUGAACAAAGGAAUUAGGAAGCGGUACUUUGUCAAGACUGAGUUCAACAUCAAGAAAAAUAAGUACAAACAGAAGAAGCCCUGAAGCAAGAUACAUAUGCUGAUGGUUGUUGAAGCCGAGAGCUGGGGAGUGGGGGCCCUAGUAUGAUUCUCCCUAAUUCUGCAUGUUUGGAAAUAUCCAUAAAACAAAAUUUUUUAAUGCAAAAACAGAAUUAAUAAAGCUUGGCCAGGAGAAAAGGUAUAUCUUCUUUCUCUAAUCUGCUUUGAAUUACUUGACAGCGUCCCUUCAGAAUAGAAAACACUCCCGAUGGCACACUCUACUCUGGAAGUCCUUCCUUAGCUCCCACUACCUCCCAUGGCCUUAGUGUCUUCAGAUGCCCUCAGCUUUCCUCCUUCUCUUCCACAGGAGCCUGUUCGGGUCCUCAGGAAGAUGUACAAGGAGGUCAUUUCAAAUGUCAUGAAGUAAUCCCCGUGCUCUCUUCGCUGUGACAGUGUGUGCAUUUCUCAGUUACUUUUUCCUGUGUAAAAACGCUUCUCUUACAUGUCGUCUGCACUGCCUCUGCGUUUUCUUAUUAGCUGAAGAAAUGUUCAUCUCUAUUUAGACUCCAGCUCCACAUCUGCUUUAUGCUGCUCCAUCU